rnacentral:tRNA from 1 species
GGUCAUGUCGCUCAGUGGUAGAAUCCCUGCUUAGCACGCAGGAGGCCCUGGGUUCGAUCCCCAGCACCA